rnacentral:lncRNA from 1 species
UGCGCUCUUCAUCUGGGCCAUUGCCCUGCUGCCUAUUUUCAUGCCUUACGGUACGUGAAUCCACUCUGUGCGCGUAUAUGUAUGUAUAUAAAUAUAAUCUUCUUGGCUGUGCUACGGUUGUGUGCACCAUAUCUGAUCCUAUCCAAUCCAUGGUGUUGUUGUAGACGCACAGUACGCUGGAAGUUAUAGUUGUACCAAAUUAAACCUGACC